CAGCAGCCGCGGGAAUACGUAGGGUGCAAGCGUUAAUCGGAAUUACUGGGCGUAAAGCGUGCGUAGGUGGUGGUUUAAGUCCGUUGUGAAAGCCCUGGGCUCAACCUGGGAAUUGCAGUGGAUACUGGGUCACUAGAGUGUGGUAGAGGAUAGUGGAAUUUCCGGUGUAGCAGUGAAAUGCGUAGAGAUCGGAAGGAACAUCUGUGGCGAAGGCGACUAUCUGGGCCAACACUGACACUGAGGCACGAAAGCGUGGGGAGCAAACAGGAUUAGAUACCCGCGUAGUCCCUGUCUCUUAUAC
rnacentral:rRNA from 1 species